AGCAUCUUUAGCUAAAUUGGUGAAAGCGCCUAACUUCGGAUUAGGAGAUUGUGGGUUCGAGUCCUUCAAGGUGCUG
rnacentral:tRNA from 1 species